UCCACCAGCUCAGCUCUCCCGACUCUGCGAGUUUGCUGCCAGGCUCUUCUUUUGCUGCUGCCUCUCUGAAGAGCCAGGGAGAUUUCAGGAUCAGCAAGGUGAACAGCAAAGGCUGUUGGGGUCUGCCACAUCAUUCACUGUGUGUCUCCUCAUCUCUGCUGAGAUGCAGCCACUCCUGGGGUGGAGUUUGGUGCAUGUGCACAGCACGUGGCCUUUGGGGACAGGGAGAGGAGGAGGUUUUGUGGAUUGAAAACAGCAGAAGCAAUUCCCCACCAUGCUGUAGCUUGACUGGCCAGACUGAAUUGGGAGGUGAUGUUGGAAACCUCACCUGUUUCUUAUAUCUUGGAGACUGAAACAUGCCAAGUGGUUGGGUUUCAUCACCUGCUUGGAUUUUAUGCAGUGCCACCUUGCAGGAAGGAGCAAAGCCCUCCCAGACACUUUUAUCUGUGUCCCUCUGCGUUCACCCCAGCUCUCCUCAGGGGCAGUGGUGUGCUCCCAAGGCACAGCAGCUGGAGGGAUGAUCCCAGGUAUCCUCCUUGGGUCUGCUCAGCUCCAAGGGCUUUAGCCCAAUCCUCCUCCACGAACAGGAGCUCUGGGAGCAGAUGUGCAGACCCCGAGGCUGCCGAUCACACGGGCAUCAGCAGCUGCCCUGGCUUUGGUGGAGUCUCUGUGAAAAGUUUCCUGCUCAGGAACCUUUAAAACCCAAGAUGUUGCUCCAAGUUGGGCUUUGGGACCUUCUCUCCUUGCAUGCCCAAGGUGCCUCCACUGCCAGCCUGAGCUCACGUUUCUGAUUGAUGCAAGCAAAUUAGGCUGCUCCCACCCUUGUGCCUGCUCCCCACCCAGAUCCACUCUGGCUCCAAUGCCGGGGUGCCACGUGCUGCCCCAUGAUCUCUGUUCACCCCAUCAGAGCCCAGCACUGAGCAAACCAAGACUGAAGGAUGGGAGAACCUGAGCUCUUGACUCUCAGAACCCCCCAGGCCUUGCAAAGCUGCUUCAGACCUUCACACCUGGCAAUAAAACACCAGCAUGGACCAUCCUGUGAGUCCAAACCAGACCUGAAGAUUGAGAUAAAGGUGGCUGUGGCUGCCCUGCAGAGCCCUCAAGCUGGGAGAAGAGGAAGAGGAGGAAGGAGAAAGAAGGAGGAGGAGGAAGCACAAUGUUUGUAGUGGUCUUGCAGAUGAGAAAUCUCCUGCCCAGCCCUGCAGGAGCCAAGGAUGCACGGCCACCUCCCCUGAGCUGGGCCUCCCAAGGCCAGCAGGAUGGGGACGUGCUGGCAGCAGCCACACAAGAGAAAAGCACUGGUGGGGGAAAAGCCCUGGUGUGGGAAGGAGCAGGAGAGGUUCACGUGAAGCCACCCCCACAGACCUCCCAGAACAGGGUGAGAUUUGGUUGCCAUCACCUCAACAACACAGCCCCCAGCCCUGUGACUCCACAGACCUCGCCUCAUGCAGGUGUUGGUUGUGUCCUUUGCUGGGCUGCUUCUCUUCAGUUUCCUGUGGCCAGGACUAUCUGGAGAGCAACCUCAGCAUGCCAGACCCUGCGUGUCUCAUGGGCUUUUUCCAGCUGCAGAGCCAGACAGCACAGCUCAGUGCCCAUGAGCAACCCUGCAAUAACAAACUGGUCACCUCCCAGCCGUGUCCUCCCAGCCCUCACCUUCCACAGCAGCCAAUUAUCACCAAAGUUAAACAGUAGCUACGAGCAACUCCAACACAAAAAACCAGCACCACAGAGAAAAGCUAGACAGAAAUUAGGGCUGAGAGAGGUGGCAGGGAGAGAAAGACACUGCAGGGAGAAAAAUAAAUGGUAUUGAUUCUUCUGAGGCCCAGCUGUGGGGUGGCACAGAGGGUGAAUCAGAUCUGGCUGUGUUUGGACACCGUGUUCCCCAUGGUGCACGAGCUCUCCCUUGGAUGGGCUUCUACAAGGAUCUCAUGAAAUUUGUACCCCCAAAUCCCUUGGAACAAUUAGUGGAAAGGCUGAGAGUGGAGCCCACAGAGGCCAAAUUAGUCUCAUUUUUUUACCCCUUCUUUCCCCACCAGAAGUGGUUCCUGGAGUGGUGAAGUUGCUUACAUGGAUGGCCCAGCAUGGGGGCAGCUUUCCCCCUUGAGUCUGGCCUGUGGAGACACAGAGCUCAGCAUUUUCUGCAGCUGUAAAUCAGGCAGUUCUCACCAAUAUAGACUUUGCUCUGAGUUGUAGGGGAUUAAAAAAAAAAAAAAAAAGAGGAAAAAGAAAAAAGGAAAUCACAAUUCAAACUCUCUGCCUUGGCCAAACUUGGUCCUUUUAAGGAAAGGAAAUUUCCCAGAGCCACCCUCGACAAACCUGGGGGCCUGAUCCUGCUGCAAGGAAUGUCUGUGCAAAUCCAGAGUGGCUCUGCUGCCUGCUGGGGGUUACAGCAGCUGAACGAGGCUCCAGCCUCAGAGCAAAGCUCCUGGUCUCCUGCCAGGAGAUGGAGCAGAGCUCACACCAGAGCAGCCUGAGAGCAAACUGGGGAUUCAGAGGCAAUAAACAGCAGAAAGAUCUGACUCCCCCUCUUAAGAAUUCACCCUUUCUGCUGAGCCACGUUCUGGAAGCACAAGCCCUGUUUUGCUGUGAGCUGCAUGGAAUAAAACAGCUGUGUCCCUUGGCUGGACGGCUCUUCCAGGGGUGCCAGAUGUUUUGCUUAGGACACGUCAGAAGAGCCUUGCUCGAGUUCAGACUUUUUUUCCUCUCAGGCUGCUUGCAGGAGCUUCAGUGGGUUUUGGGGUUUUUUCAAUAUUUGCUCUCCACCAGAUUUUCACAGGAAAGCAAUAGGGAUUGGAAGCAAAUUGGGAAAGAUUUGGUUUCACCCCAGCCCCUCUUUGUAUAAAUAAUCUGCAAGGGAAAAGCUGGAAUGAUGAGUAAAACACUUGUGCUGCCUUUUCACUGGAAUUAAGGGUCUGGAUGUAACCCGCUGUGUCCACACGCUCUGCUGAAGAGACCAUGCUGGCACAUUUUGGGGGUCAAACCCCACAAAUGCCUGACUGCCCCCAGCUCCCACGACAUGACAAACCAGCCGUGGAGUGUUGUGGAAACAGCACAACCAGCAAGGUCCAGGACUGGACCCCAGCGUCCCAGCCACCAAACCAGGGUGCACGAGGCCACAGAGCUCCCUGCGGGGUCAGGAAGAUGUGAAAUGCCCAGGACAACAUCUCUGCGAGGCUGUCACCGUCCUGCACCCGGCCCAGCCCCGAGGCCGCCGUGGCUCCAGGAAAAGCCGCCUCCCGAGCGCCCCGUCCCGCCCCGCUGCCGGGCAUCUCCCAGCCCCGCGCCCGCCCGGGCACGCCGUGCCAGCGUGGGGAACCAGCCAGCUUCUAAACAGUUAAUGCCGACAAAACCAGGCAGCUUGAGUUCCCUCCUUCCCGGACCGCUCCUAGUGGAACUCACCCCCUUCAAAUGAAACGAAAUAAAAUUAUCCUCCUGCUCUGACCUCGCCCCGGUGUCCUCUCGUCCUCCCUGUCUGUGCCUCCGCUCUUGCUGUGCCCCCACCCUGCGCCGGCGCGGCCGGGAGCGCCCGUGCCCAGCGUCUCCCACCACGUUUGCUCCGGCUGCCAUGUUGAAUUGCAAAUCCGACAUGAUUCGACACAUUUCACCCCGUCCGUGGUGCCCGGCGGGGAACUGAGGCACCACCCGGGCGACAACGCCCAGCCCCGGGUGGCUCCUGGGGACGUCCCGGGUGGUGGGGCGAGGGCAGGGGGAGAAAUCAGCCUCCAGUCCUGCUCCAAACGCUGCACGUAGGGACCUGCCUAUCUGCUACACAUCCCUCUCUAGGAGACCGAUUAAAGUCGGGUGUUUUAGCACCAAGGGCCGGAGGACUCGGCGGGAAGGGAUUUCGGGGAGAAGGCACGUUACAGCAACAACAAAGCAACGGAGCAACUGGAGGAACAAAACGUUAUUUCAAAUCAAAGGCAAAAAAACCCCAACCGCACGGACAAAAAAGAAAAAAAAAACCAACCAAAAUUAAGAGUGAGGUUCAAUUUCGUACCAAGGCAGCAAGAGAGACGCACCGUGGAAGAGAGUGGUUUUGUUGUUGAGUAGUGGCUGGAUUUAGCUCCGCUUAUCCGGACAAUCAUCGGGGAAGGAUCCUUUUCCGAGAAAGGCCAGUUUGAGUGAGACAGCUUUUUUUUUUCCCUUCUCUCGCUCGCUCUCUCCCCUUUCCUUCUCCUCGCAGCUCAAUGCCAAGAAAUGGGCGGUGCCUGGAUGCCAGGCUCCAUCCGAACGAGACACCCAAGGCCAACGGAGGCUGGCACAAAGGCGAGCUGGCAGGAAUUCCUGCACUCGGAGCCGCGCGCCUGCGGGACGAGCCCGCCGCCUCCCAAAAAAUCAACCUCCGACACCGCCCGCUCCGGAAAGUUGCCCCAUCAGGCUCGAGAACGCCCCAUGAGGCUCAAGCACAGGGCAAAAAAAUAGACAAGGGGAGGAAAAAAACCUCCAAGAGCCCUCUUUGCAUCGAUGCAGGUUAAACAAAAGGCCUGGGGAGGUGGAUUUUUUUUCCGCCCUCCUCAUGCUCCUUUUCCCGCCUUCCCAUCCCUCUCCUCCCUCCUCUUGUCCUCCAUCGUUGUCUCCGUCGCCCGCCGCCCCAGCGUCCAGGCAGAAAUAAGCCCUUGGCUCCCUCCUUCCUGGUUUUAGCACGACAGGAGGUGGCGAGUCCUUGAAUAGGAACACACACACCCAACGCGAGAGGGACCCGAUGGGGGCAGAAAAGAAAGAGGACAAAAAAUAUAAACGUAUACAUACAAACAACAACCCAGCCGCCAUGGAGGACGGUUGGGAGCAGUUGCUGCCAAGGGUGGCAGAUUGGGGGUGGUUUGGGUGCCAGGGGGUAUUUUCGGCCUUAUUUUGUUGCUGCCCAAGCACCUGGGUCGUGCCGAUUGUAAAAGGGAGUCACGGCGGGGUGGGGAAGGGAGCGGAGGGGGGGGCAGCUGGGAUUGGUAGCGCUGCUGGGGAGAUGCCAAAAAACCAAAACAAAACACGUUUUCAUUUUGUCUGCACCAGCCUGGGCGCAGGCGAGCACGGGAGAGAGGGAGGGAGAGGGAGGCGCACGCCAACAGAAAGCCGCCGUGCUCAGACGCGGGCCUGCGGCCACGUCCCUCCGCAGCCGCCCCACAGCCGUUCCCGCUCCCUCGUCCCCCUCUCCCUGCCCACCCGGCUUCGCCUGCCAAGUCCGAGUUGGCACGGCUCCCCCGGCUGCGCCGAACAAAGCCGUCACCCAUCCCCGAGCCGGCGCUGACAGUAAGCAAAGUGACAGGCGCAUCUUCCGCAUGUUAAUCCAAACGGCGAGGAGGCGAGCGAGCGGCGGAGCCCCCCCGUGCCAUGCACACACACCCCCCCCGCCACCGAGCCACCCACCCCACCCUUGGCACCCGACGGCCCCGGUGGCCUCGUGCAGGGCUGGCGAGGCCCCCGCCGGCGGGAGCACCGAAGGCUCCUCGUUUAAAUCGAGGUUUAAAUCGAGCCGAAGCCCUGCUCGGCGGGCAAACGAGGCCACUCGGCAUCUGCUGUACCUGUUCCCGCUGCCUUCAUCUCGCCUUGGAACCGUGACAAGAGCGCACUCGCCUCUGGUGGGCUCUCAAAGCCGCGGGUCUGUAACCCUUUGCAGGAAGUUGGCACCGAUCCCAGUCCAAACCCAACGCGAAGGGAAAGGAGGGGAAGAGAAAUCAAAUGGGAAGAGAAUAGCUCCAAGUCGGCAGGACAAUGCACGGGAAACGGGGAGAUUAGCGUAGCUCUCGAAAUCCAUCACGCCCGCCCCGUUUCUGAACCGUUCGCCUCCGCGCCUCGUCUUUUUUAAUUCUCCCAGCUCCUGAAUUAUUCCAGUCCACGAGCGGGAGGGGAGCGCACAGUCCAGAGUCCCUCAGAGCUGCCAAGAGCAUUGCAACAGGAAAGAAAGGAAGCAGGAGAGGGAGAGCCAGGCAGAGCCCUCACAAUCGAGCAGCGAGAAGAGCAAGGAAAAAUUAACAUCCAAUUAGUGCCGUGUUUAACGAGGGAGACAGAGGCGGCUGUUGUUUUAUUGCCCUGUUCUUUUCAGGCGCAUCUGACAGGCAGCAGGGAAGGCACCCCUGCUCCGAGUGACGUCAUCAUAUUUUAUUUUUUAAUUAUUUCCCCCCCCCCCGUUCCUCCCCCGUCUUUCCCUCUCUAAGUUUCGCACAGACGAUCUCAGCAACUCGGCCACGGAAAUUCGGGACUUUCUCGCGUUCAAGCCACCGGCUCCCCCCUCCACCUCCAGCCUCCCCCCGUCCACCGACAGCAACCCUGAAAAAACAACAGCGCCAACCCACCCCAAAGUCUUUGUUCUUCCAAAAAGAAAAGAAGAAAAGGAGGAAAGAAAAAAAAUCAGCGUUGGGAUGAGAGCUGGAGGGAGCCCGGAGGAGGUUUCUCCGUGUGCGCGUCCGAGUGUGUGCGUGCGGCGGCCGGUCCCUCUCCCGUCCCUCUCCCCAGACGCUCGCUCGCCUUGUAAAACUUUGCUGCAUGUGACGCUGCUCCGGCCUCCUCUGGCAGCCUGACAAGAGCCGCCCGGCCGCAGAGCGCAGGCUGCAUUUCAGGGAGAAACUCCAUUCCCAGGGAUGGGAGCAGCCGCGUGUUUGCAGCGAGGGCCGGCGCCUCGAGCCAGGGCCGCGGCCGCAGCGAUGCCGACCCUCACCACGCCAGCCCGGCCUGGGGUCACAGCAGGGGAGUGGGGCCGAGUUUAAGGCUGGGGUGACUUUCCCCCUCCUGUUUCUCCCCUGGGAUGGGGGCCCAGCGCGGUGUAAAUGCCGAGGGAGGUGUGCAGGGGUCACAGUAACUGCAGAAAAGGAGUUUCGCUGACCUUGUGCUGCCAUCUCUUCCCUGAAAGACCCAGAUCCCCUCAGGGUGGGUUAAAACACCACCGGCUCCCCCUGAGAGCGCUGCCCAGGAGGGAACAGGGCAGCUCAGUGCAGGGAGAUUUGAGGGAAUUUACUCUGAAAAAAACCCGCGCAGCAGGCAAGCAGGAGCGUGGAAAGCAUUUCCCCACAUCCUUCCCAUCCUCUUACCAGCUGUGAGUGAUGGAUGGAGCAUUCACAGUCAGCAUGGCAGGUCAGGCCACUGCCCUGAGCUUUGCCACCGUGCUCUUUGUAGCCUCUUCUCCGUGUUUCCAGAUGGGAUUUCUCUUGUCCAGGGAGGAAUCCACGAGAACCUGGCUCCUCUGUAAUCUCCCAUUUCAGGAAUUAUUUGCCUACGUGGAGCUCGGCGCUGCGGGAGAACAGAGCAAACAGCCUUAUCGAGGGCAGCUGUGCCACAGGGCACUUCCUCAUGCGUGGCUGCAAGAUGGGGCCCUGCACGGCUGUGGGGGAGGGCUGGGAACCCCCGGCCUUGCCACUGACCAGACACCACGGAGACACCAGGCAGCACCCAGGCAUCGGGAGAGCUCUCGGGGAUCUUCCCUCCCUGCUCCACGGCGGGAGAGCGGCACGGCCAGGAAGGGCUUUGGACUGAACUGAAGGGUCUCCAGCAGCACGGCUCUGCAGGGGAGAGGGGAGGAUGGAACAGUGGCUCCGAGCUCAGCUGCACCUCCCUGGGCACAAAGGCUCAUCUCGCUGCUUCCCACAUCCUGCCAGACUCCAGCAUCCAAGCCCAGCAGAGAGACAGACCAGCCUUGACCUGAGAUCCCCUCUCCUGGCUGCUGUCACUGCCUCCCCUCUCCCCUGGGCAGCUGGGAGCAGAUGAGGCCAAAGUCCCGGCAAUCUCAGUUCUCCACUGGAGCUUGAUAAACGGCGCGGGCACGGAACAGCAGCGGUCCCCACCCGGCCUGGCUUUGUGCAGGAGAGUCAAUAUUUAAACCAGAGUUUGUUUCCUGGGCAGACAGGGGAGCGCCAGUGGGAGAACCCCCCGGCUCCAUCCCGGGUGCCAGACCCAAACCUCCUCCUCCACCCCUUCAUUUGUUCUCCUGACAUGUUCCAGCCUGGAUCCCUUCUCCUGUGGGAUACCGGAGCACCAGCUGCAGGGCCAGGCACUGACUAAGGGGUGGCAAUUCAAGGGAGAGGAAUGCCCAGCCAGGGUUUGGGUUGUCUCCCAGCCUGCUCCUAAUGCAAACAUUUGUCCUUGUGGUGGGACCCCUCAAAUGAAGCAUGAGACAAGAAUCAGGGAUAGAAAAAUAGGAGGUGAGGAAAUAUUCAAUCAUGCUAAGAAUGGCAGCCCCUCGCUUCAAAGUAAGGCAGUGCACUGAGAGCUUUGAAACCUGGUUUUCAUUAAACUGAGCAAAAGCUAUGGUCAACUGUUGGGUUUUCAGCCAAGUUUGUGGGCCCUGAUGAACUGGGCAGAAAUUACUGACAGGAUGCAUCCAAUGGUGCAGCUUUAGGUAAAUCCCUUAGGUACAUUCCUUAGGUAAAUUCCUCAAAGGACAGGAAAUAGCACUUUUCCCUGCAGUGGCUGCAGUCAGGCUGUGCAGAGGCUGCAGGAGGUUGGACAGGCAUGUGAGCAGCACAAGGUGGCUUUAAUUUGGAGGAUAAAGGUUCCUGAGCAGGUGCUGUGUGACCUGGCAGAUGCAAUGCCCUGUGUUGAACAGGUCACAAAACAAGGUGAUAAAAGGCCAGUGGGGAAGGAUGGAGCUGUGAGGGGGAAGAUGGGAUGGCUGAGCCCACCUGACCGGUCUGACAGCAGCAAAGGGUCUCCAGCAUCCCUUCAAGAAGACUCAGGGUCCAUUUUAACUCCAAAAACCUAAUUCCACAUCUACUGUUUCAAGCACCAAGCCCUCUGCUGCCUUCACUCCAGGUGCACCCACUGCAGUUUGCUCAUCCUAAAUAUGCCCACCUUCUGUGAAGGUGAGGAAAAUCAGGCAGAAUCUGAGUUUUAAAAAGCUGUUUUAGCCCCUGAUUUGGAGAAGAGACCAAUGGAAGUGCCUGUCUUAAACAGAAACCUUCCGGAGGGAGAACAUUAUGAAAAAAAACACCAAAAGAAAAAAAAAAUGGCAACACCCAAUAGUUGUUUUAUAACUGUAUUUUGGAGCAUAAUUAAAUCCUCUUUGCAAUCAUCUCUGGUGUUAGGGAACAGGUCCAUGCAUUAUUUAACUGUAACACAAACUGGGAGCGAGGGAGGACAGACAGGACCGACUUCACGACACCAAAGGGAGCUGGGUGGGGGCUGCCAGUCCCAGCAGGUACCACCACUGUCCUGCAGGCCCUGCCUGGGGUGUGCACUCGCCCUGCCUGCUGGAGAAAAAACCCCGUGUGAUGGCAGGACCAGGAUGAGAUGGGACCCCAGCUGCUGCUGUUGCUGCUGCAGCACACAGGAACCUGCUGUAGGAACGCUCUUCCCAGGAGUGCAGCAUCACCUCUGUGCAAAAGACUGCUUUGUGGGGAACUGAAAGGGGGGAAAUCUGCCUGGCUGCCAUCACAGCACAGACUGGUGCAAAGAAACUCUUGUGUGGGGAGCUGAGCAUCAAUCCUGCCCUAGUGCCCUCAGCAGCAAUCCUGCUCUGCUACACCGAGCCAGCCAUGCCCCACUGAGCACCAGGAGCCUUGGAGCCUGAUGCCUCACCAGCUCAAGGUGUAUCCCUUCACUGCAGACAGCCCUGGAGGGCUGCCCCUGCUGCAGGAGAGCCCUUUGUGUGCAGCUCUCCAAUCCCAGUGGCUCCGUUUCCAUCAGUGAGGGAGCAGGAGCCCAGCAGGGCUCGGGUGCUGCUGCCUGGGAGCUGCCCCUCGGUGCAGCCAGGCCAGUCCAACCUGCCUCCCCUGAGUGUGUGCAGGCUGCCUGCCCAGCCCACAGCUCUGCUGGGUGGAUCCUGAACACACCGUGACUGAAAUCCUGUCCAAAGCAGCACCAAGGCAGCGCACAGCCCUUCCCAAGGGCUCUCUCUGUGUCCACAUCCCAUCGCUGCCCUCAGCUGGGCUGGACCCGUCUCUUUGGGACUCUGCAGUGGGACUCUGUUUCCCUUCCCUGUUUGGAUCCUAUAAUUUCCUUUUCAUGCCCAUGGGAGUUGUGAUACUCCUGGGUGUAUCCCUCAAACCUUAAAUAUGGAUGCCAGGUUGAUCUUGCCCAGGAUGAGCCACCUGCCAGGCAAAGGUGCUCUCUCCAGAAAGGACGAGGCA